UACGUAGGGUGCGAGCGUUGUCCGGAAUUACUGGGCGUAAAGAGCUCGUAGGUGGUUUGUCGCGUUGUUCGUAAAAUCUCACGGCUUAACUGUGAGCGUGCGGGCGAUACGGGCAGACUGGAGUACUGCAGGGGAGACUGGAAUUCCUGGUGUAGCGGUGGAAUGCGCAGAUAUCAGGAGGAACACCGGUGGCGAAGGCGGGUCUCUGGGCAGUAACUGACGCUGAGGAGCGAAAGCGUGGGGAGCGAACAGG
rnacentral:rRNA from 1 species